CCGGGCUGGAGUGCAGUGGUGCAAUCUCAGCUCACUGCAACCUCUGCCUUCCGGGUUCAAGCGAUUCUCCUACCUCAGCCUCCUAAGUAGCUGGGAUUAUAGGCACGCGUCACCACACCCGGCUAAUUUUUUGUAUUUUUAGUAGAGAAGGGGUUUCGCCAUGUUGGCCAGCCUGGUCUUGAACUCCUGACCUCGGGUGAUGCACCCGCCUUGGCCUCCCGAAGUGCUGGGAUUACAGGCAUGAGCCACCUCGCCCGACCCCUGCUAGGCUUCUUGCAGGGUCCACUGGGGACACUGACUGGAAGGAAAAAAAUGACUUUUCCCUUUUGGAUAGAAUUUUAACAGAAUAAAUAAAAGGGAAGAAUUUUGCAAAGAGCAGACCCCCAAUAAAUUUUGCUGAAAGAAUGAAUGAUUUGGAAACGUAUUGGGAAGAGUGCUGCUGGGUCCUUUGGAACAGCCCCUGGGCUUUUAAUAAUUGAUUUCAGCAAACUAAUGUGAGUUUCCCUGGGGUUGAUGCCGGGGUUCGCAGGGCUCUCAGCUCAAGGACAAGGAGGAACACUUCCACUGUGUCCCCGCAGGCUGAAGGAGGCUGUUCACUCCUUUUUCUCAGGAAGCCCAGCUGUUGAAACGGAUCAGCACAUCUCCCUUGCUCUCUCCCCAUGCACACUGACAUGGUUUUCAGAUCCUAGGGUUGGGGGUCUUCUUUAUUUUAUUAUUUUUAUUAUCUUUUUUUAUAUUUUUUAUUUUUUCUGAGACAGUGUCUUGCUCUGUCGCCCAGGUUGGAGUGCAGUGGUGCGAUCUCGGCUCACUGCAAGCUCCGCCUCCUGGGUUCACACCAUUCUGCCUCAGGCUCCUGAGUAGCUGGGACUACAGGCGCCCACCACCACGCCCGGCUAAUGUUUUGUAUUUUUAGUAGAGAUGAGGUUUCACCGUGUUAGCCAGGAUGGUCUCGAUCUCCUGACCUCAUGAUCCGCCUGCCUCAGCCUCCCAAAGUGCUGGGAUUACAGGCGUGAGCCACCAUGCCCAGCGGGGGUCUUCUUUAAAUAACAGCCUUUCCUCUGGCCCUUUGGUCUGUGAUCUGACUGACCGCCUGUGUCCUGGUCUGAGGAACACCAGCUCCUACAACUGACAACCACAAAGGGAUGCUUCACUUUUUCCCCGUGGGUCUCUGGCAGGGUCUCACUCUGAGCUACAACGUUUUCUUUCCUUCACUCAGCAAAUGUUUUCUGAAGGCCUGCUUUGUGCCAGAUUCUGGGGUGCAGGGAUGAGCAACGACGCAUUGUCCCCAUAGCACACUGAUCUCAGGUGCUUUCUUCCUCAAGUAAACCAUAUACCCUUGCUGGAGGUGACUUGGGGGGCCAUCCCUCAGCAGAAGCCAGACUCCCCACUCUACCCCAUUCCAAACCUUCCCCUCAGAUCCACAAAAGUUACUCAACUUCAGUCACCCUCUGCAGACUCAGAUUUAGUACAAAUGACUGGCUUUUGCAAUAGUGUGGGAAGAGCUGCGACAGGAGCAUACAGAAGCUCUGGGAACCCACAGGGAAGGGCAGCUGAACCAGCCUGGGGAGAAUAGGGAAGCCUUCCUGGAGGAGGGGAUGCCUGAAUAGAGGCCCAAGGAAUGGCUAUGAUUCGGCAAAGACAAAGGAUGAGUGCAUUAGUCAGGGUCCUAAAAGGGAACAGGCCCCCUUAAGUUAGGAUGAUUUGAGGAGGGUUUAUGCACAAAGAGGUUAUUUGCAAAGAUUUGGGCAGAGUGUGGGAGAACAACACAAGACAGUACAGAAACUCAGGGCCAGCGGCAGCAGAGCUGUUUCCACCCCUAGGCCAGAAGACAUGGGAGAGGGGCAGCCUGUACCCUGGAAAGAGGGAGAGUCGUGUCAUUCAGGUCACCUUCCCUCUAGGGAAUCAGCCAGCCUGAUGCAACCUUACAAGGAGGGAAUCGAUUGCCUUGACCUCAUUCUUUGCUGUCUUCCAAACUCUUGCUGGGGGUCCCCAUUGGCCAAACCCAACCAGGAGCCAGAGGGCACUGGAGCUGAUUAAUGUGAUCUAUACAGGGCAGACUUUGGGGCACAGAGCAGGCUGGAGAGUGGAUCUGGCAUGGUAAGCAGAAGAUAUCCAGCAUGCUGGGUCAGGGAAGGCCUUUCUAAGAAGAGGAGAACCAUUUGUGAGGCCCAGAGGUAUGCAAGAAUGUGUAAGUUGGGGAAAUGUUUUCUUUAUGUCUGGAUUAGAGUGAGUAGGAAUGGGGGCGUCCAUCAUGAAAGGCCUUGCAUGUCUUUCUAAGGAAUGUGAAAAUUUAUCCCAAAGGCGAUGGGAGCCACUGAAGGGUUUUUGGCAGGAGGUGACGUGAUCAGAUUUGUGUUCUGAAAUGACCACUCUUGCCCUAGUGUGGACGUGGUCUGGAGGAACACUUCAGACCAGAGAUGGUGAGGCCUGAACCAAGACAAUGGUGGUGGAGAAAGAGGUGGAUUGAUGUGAGAAACGUUGAGGAAGUAGUCUCGAAAGGCGAUGACGGAUCGGAAGUGGAGGAUGAAGGAAAGGGAGGCGUCGACAGCAGUGUCUGGGGUUCCACUUGAAGCUCAGGCUGGGGAGGGAGCGUGAGGGAGCAGUUUGCCUGCCCAGCUGUUGCUUCCUCGGCUUUGCUUUCUGGAUUUGGAAGAAAGCUUAGAUUGGCCCUCAUUAGCAGGACCUCAGGCUUUCAAAGGGGCCUUGGAGGGGCUUCCUAGCCAUUACACAGGUUGGCCUCCCUUGGUUGUCUCAAGAGCAUGCCAAACUAGAGAGCAGGCAAAGUCACCUUUUGCUGCCACCCUGGGACCUACUGAGCCGGGACCUGCUCCUCUCCCACCCCCUGCCCCUUCGCAUAUGGACAGGGGAUGUGUUUUCUUUUAACUUGCUUCAUUGCAGGAGCAAAUGAGGUCCAGCUGAGGGGAGGGAACCAGCCAUGGCGACAGAGCACAGGCUGUGUGAGCUGGGGCGAGAGUGGGGGCUCUGUCACCCUCAGUUUCCUUCCACUGGCUUUUCAGAAAGCUCUGGUCCCCGUAGGCUCAGAUUUCAUCCCUAGCAAUUCUGAAGAACCUGCUCUCCAGUAACAGGUCCCACUCCUUGGAGUUCUUUGCCUAGAAACCUGGAAUAAUUUUCUUUUGUUGCAGAAGAAAAUGCUGAGGUUGUUCUUUCAUGGCCUAAGAACUUGAGUAGUCAUGGCAACGCAUGAGGGUGGGGUGGGUGAGGUGGGGGCGUCUUAGCAGUGUUUCGUUUCAAAUGCCAGAUUAAAGGAAAAGCGUCUUUGGAGUUCGCCUCGUUAAGACAUAGCUCAGUGCAGGCUUGUUGGAUGGUUCUCCAGCUCAUCAUUUUACACAUUGCAUUUUCCCUACAUUUCCUCGCCUGACGGGCAGUCUUCUGGGAUUUCUCCCUGAGAAUUUUGGCUCCAAGACUUCUCCAAGAAUUUCAGCUCAUUUCUGGCAAGAGCGUUGGUGGGGGUGACUCGUGUUCCUGUUGAGGACCGUGUCUUGUGAGUCCUUUGCUUCCAAUGGGACUGCCACUUUCAAAAACCAAAGGUAACAUGUUUAUUGAGGGUUUGUUCUGGCUACAAAAAGAAAGAUGGCGAUUGAGCAGCCAUUUCCUUUUCACACUACACUUUUGGUCCAGGAUCUUUCUCUCAGAGUUUGGCCAGGUCAAGCCCAACGCUGGCUCUGGGGAUCUAGGCCAUCCUUCCGACUGCCCUUCCGGGGCGCGUCUUGGAGAAAAUAAAGGUGGAAACAUUUAACCUAGACACUGGCUGCAAGUGCUUUCUUCCUCACCUGAACCUUAUCCCCGUGCUAGAGCUGACCUGGGGGUCCUCCCUCUUGAGGAGCUAGACUCCCCACCCUGCGCCAGUCCAAACCUCUCCUAUACCUGCAAAAGAUACUCAACACGUUAGAGUUGCCCAGUUACCAACUAAAAUAUUUCCCAAGUCUUCAUUUAUGCUUUCCAGUGAUCUCCUAGAUUCUCCUUGUGAUUAAUGUUCUUAUUAACCAUAGCCCCCAUGUGCUGAACACUUACUAAGAGGCCAGAUUUCUAUUUAUCGCCUAAUUGACUAGUCACCAACAACCCCGUGAGGCAGGUACUAGCAGUCGCAUCUUACAGAGGAGGAAACUGAAGGCCCCCCAAGCUAACUUGUCCAGAACCAAAUAGCUGGUAAGAGGUAGAGCUGCGAUGACGUGGGAUCUGUCUGGUAACACACAGUGCCCUCUCCACCAGGCGACACAGCCUGCAUCCUCAGCCACUUUCACCCCCUCUCACCUGAUCACAGCACACAUUCCCGCCUGCACGAGCCCCGCCUCAUUCCAGCCAGAAUGUGGUCACUGAACCAUCUCCCCAAAGUUCCCCUUUCAUUCUUUCUUUCUUUUUUUUUCCUUUUGAGAUGGAGUCUCACUCUGUCCCCCGGGCUGGAGUGCAGUGGCUUGAUCUUGGCUCACUGCAACCUCUGCCUCCUGGCUUCAAGUGGUUCUCCUGCCUCAGCCUCCCCAGUAGCUGGGACUACAGGUGCAUGCCACCAUGCCCGGCUAACUUUUGUAUUUUUAGUGGAGAUGGGGUUUCACCAUGUUGGUCCAGGCUAGUCUCAAACCGCUGACCUCAAGUGAUCUGCCUGCCUUGGUUUCCCAAAGUGCUGGGAUUACAGGCGUGAGCCACCGUGCCCAGCCCCAAAGCUCCCCUUUCAUUGCUCCCAUGCUAGGCUCCCCUGCUGGGCUCAGUUUUGAGGGUACAGAGACCAUGACAGUCUUGUUCACCCUGGUAUCUAUAGGGCUUGACCUGUAGAAAGUGCACAAGUAAUUACUUACUUACAGAGCCAAUGGAAAUAUCUUUCUUCCACCAGCGCCGCCACCCCCGCCCCCACAUCCCCCUUAUUCUUUCUCUUCUCCUUUCCCGGCUACAGCCGCAACCUGUCUCCAUCAGAUGUGGCUUACCUGGUUCCUGAGUCAAUUCCAUCCAGGUAGGAGGAAUCCUAUCAGAACGCAUGUGGGUGCGUUUGCAGAGUACAUUCCUAUGGAGCCCCCUUAGCUCUGGCUGCAUCUGCGUCUGCAGGGAGAAAGGAUCCCUGCUGUGAGAGGUCUGGGAUCUGGAGUACAGAGGAUGGUGAAGCCAAGGCCUGAAGACCUUUCCUGCAAGGUCACAGAAGAGGCAGAAGAAGGACCAGAACCCAGCUCCCCUGACUCCCCAUCCAGUGCUCUUCUCAUAGAUUACAUUGCUUCAGCAUCCACCCGGCUAUUGCUCCAUUCAGGAGUUACAGGAGUCACUGAGUGUUUUGGCUGCUUCUUGGUUGGAGGAUGUUGUACCUCACCGAUGAGGGCCGGAAGCAAAGGUACCAGUUCUUAGAGGAAGCAUAGGAAUGUGUCCCUUCCUGCUCGGGUCUCUCAACUGAACGCAACCCUUCCUUGAUUGAUUGACAAGCAUGUUAUCUCUUGUAAUCCCUGCC